rnacentral:rRNA from 1 species
GACGAACGCUGGCGGCGUGCUUAACACAUGCAAGUCGAACGGAAAGGCCCUGCUUUUGUGGGGUGCUCGAGUGGCGAAGGGGGGAGUAACACGUGAGUAACCUGCCCUUGACUUUGGGAUAACUUCAGGGAACUGGGGCUAAUACCGGAUAGGAGCUCCUGCUGCAUGGUGGGGGUUGGAAAGUUUCGGCGGUGGGGGAUGGACUCGCGGCUUAUCAGCUUGUUGGUGGGGUAGUGGCUUACCAAGGCUUUGACGGGUAGCCGGCCUGAGAGGGUGACCGGCCACAUGGGGACUGAGAUACGGCCCAGACUCCUACGGGAGGCAGCAGUGGGGAAUAUUACACAAUGGGCGGAAGCCUGAUGUAGCAACGCCGCGUGCGGGAUGACGGCCUUCGGGUUGUAAACCGCUUUCGCCUGUGACGAAGCGUGAGUGACGGUAAUGGGUAAAGAAGCACCGGCUAACUACGUG